rnacentral:rRNA from 1 species
AGCGCAUACGGUGGAUGCCUUGGCAGUCAGAGGCGAUGAAAGACGUGGUAGCCUGCGAAAAGCUUCGGGGAGUCGGCAAACAGACUUUGAUCCGGAGAUCUCUGAAUGGGGGAACCCACCUAGGAUAACCUAGGUAUCUUGUACUGAAUCCAUAGGUGCAAGAGGCGAACCAGGGGAACUGAAACAUCUAAGUACCCUGAGGAAAAGAAAUCAACCGAGAUUCCCUUAGUAGUGGCGAGCGAACGGGGAUUAGCCCUUAAGCUUCAUUGAUUUUAGCGGAACGCUCUGGAAAGUGCGGCCAUAGUGGGUGAUAGCCCCGUACGCGAAAGGAUCUUUGAAGUGAAAUCGAGUAGGACGGAGCACGAGAAACUUUGUCUGAACAUGGGGGGACCAUCCUCCAAGGCUAAAUACUACUGACUGACCGAUAGUGAACCAGUACCGUGAGGGAAAGGCGAAAAGAACCCCGGAGAGGGGAGUGAAAUAGAACCUGAAACCGUAUGCGUACAAGCAGUGGGAGCCUACUUGUUAGGUGACUGCGUACCUUUUGUAUAAUGGGUCAGCGACUUAUAUUCAGUGGCAAGCUUAACCGUAUAGGGUAGGCGUAGCGAAAGCGAGUCUUAAUAGGGCGUUUAGUCGCUGGGUAUAGACCCGAAACCGGGCGAUCUAUCCAUGAGCAGGUUGAAGGUUAGGUAACACUGACUGGAGGACCGAACCCACUCCCGUUGAAAAGGUAGGGGAUGACUUGUGGAUCGGAGUGAAAGGCUAAUCAAGCUCGGAGAUAGCUGGUUCUCCUCGAAAGCUAUUUAGGUAGCGCCUCAUGUAUCACUCUGGGGGGUAGAGCACUGUUUCGGCUAGGGGGUCAUCCCGACUUACCAAACCGAUGCAAACUCCGAAUACCCAGAAGUGCCGAGCAUGGGAGACACACGGCGGGUGCUAACGUCCGUCGUGAAAAGGGAAACAACCCAGACCGCCAGCUAAGGUCCCAAAGUUGUGGUUAAGUGGUAAACGAUGUGGGAAGGCUUAGACAGCUAGGAGGUUGGCUUAGAAGCAGCCACCCUUUAAAGAAAGCGUAAUAGCUCACUAGUCGAGUCGGCCUGCGCGGAAGAUGUAACGGGGCUCAAACCACACACCGAAGCUGCGGGUGUCACGCAAGUGACGCGGUAGAGGAGCGUUCUGUAAGCCUGUGAAGGUGAGUUGAGAAGCUUGCUGGAGGUAUCAGAAGUGCGAAUGCUGACAUGAGUAACGACAAUGGGUGUGAAAAACACCCACGCCGAAAGACCAAGGGUUCCUGCGCAACGUUAAUCGACGCAGGGUUAGUCGGUUCCUAAGGCGAGGCUGAAAAGCGUAGUCGAUGGGAAACAGGUUAAUAUUCCUGUACUUCUGGUUACUGCGAUGGAGGGACGGAGAAGGCUAGGCCAGCUUGGCGUUGGUUGUCCAAGUUUAAGGUGGUAGGCUGAAAUCUUAGGUAAAUCCGGGGUUUCAAGGCCGAGAGCUGAUGACGAGUCGUCUUUUAGAUGACGAAGUGGUUGAUGCCAUGCUUCCAAGAAAAGCUUCUAAGCUUCAGGUAACCAGGAACCGUACCCCAAACCGACACAGGUGGUCGGGUAGAGAAUACCAAGGCGCUUGAGAGAACUCGGGUGAAGGAACUAGGCAAAAUGGCACCGUAACUUCGGGAGAAGGUGCGCCGGCUAGGGUGAAGGAUUUACUCCGUAAGCUCUGGCUGGUCGAAGAUACCAGGCCGCUGCGACUGUUUAUUAAAAACACAGCACUCUGCAAACACGAAAGUGGACGUAUAGGGUGUGACGCCUGCCCGGUGCCGGAAGGUUAAUUGAUGGGGUUAGCGCAAGCGAAGCUCUUGAUCGAAGCCCCGGUAAACGGCGGCCGUAACUAUAACGGUCCUAAGGUAGCGAAAUUCCUUGUCGGGUAAGUUCCGACCUGCACGAAUGGCGUAACGAUGGCGGCGCUGUCUCCACCCGAGACUCAGUGAAAUUGAAAUCGCUGUGAAGAUGCAGUGUAUCCGCGGCUAGACGGAAAGACCCCGUGAACCUUUACUGUAGCUUUGCACUGGACUUUGAGCCUGCUUGUGUAGGAUAGGUGGGAGGCUUUGAAGCGUGGACGCCAGUUCGCGUGGAGCCAUCCUUGAAAUACCACCCUGGCAUGCUUGAGGUUCUAACUCUGGUCCGUAAUCCGGAUCGAGGACAGUGUAUGGUGGGCAGUUU